CAACAAAUGCCAGCAGUACAAAUUCAUUAGUAUAUUAAAAGGAUAAGCCUCUAUGACCAAGUAGGAUUUCUCUUAGGAAUGCAAGGACAAUUCAACAUAUGAAAAUUAGUCAACAUCAAUGGAAUGUACUACAGCAACACAAUAAAGGAAAAAUUAACACAUGAUCAUCUCAUCUGAUGCAGAAAAAAACAUUUAACAGAAUUCAAAACCUUUCGUAAUAAAAACACUCAACAAACUAGGAAUUGGAAGAAGAAAAAAAUCUACCUCAACAUAAUCAAAGCCAUCAUGAAAAAUCAAAAGUGAACAUGACACCAAAUGAUUAAAGAUGGAAAGCUUUUUCUGUAAGGUCAGGAACAAGGAAAGUUUAUGUGCUUUUGCCAUUCUUUUCAACAUAGGAAAUUGUAGCCAGAGCAGUUAGGCAAGAAAGAAAUAAAUGGCAUCCAAUUUGUAAACGAAAAAGUUAAAUCAUCUCAGUUCACAAAUGGUGUGCUCUUACAUAUAAAAACCCUAAAGAUUUCACAAAUUCAGGAAAGUAGAAGGAUACAAAGUCAAUACACAAAUGUACAUUAUUUCUGUUCACUAGUAAUGAAUAAUCCCAAAGAAAAUUGAGAAAACAAUUCUACUUAACAAUUGCACCAAAAUAAAAUACUUAGGGAUUAACCAAGAAGGUUAAAUGCUUGUACAAUGAAAGCUACAAAACACCGAAAUGAAGUACAGACAUAAAUGGAAAAACAUCUUGACUUAAUUUUGUUGACCCCCCAAAAAAACAUUCUACAGAUUUAAUGCAAUUAUUAUAAAAUAUAAGAGAGGACUCCUAAAAUUCAGCAAAAAAACCAAAAAACAAAGAAUUGAAUUCAAAGAUGGCCAAAAUACUUGAAUAGACAUUUCUCCAAAGAUGUAUGUAUAGCCAAUACACAUAUUAAAAGAUAUUCAACAUCACUAAUCAUUAUGGAAAUAUAAAUCAAAACUAUGAUAAUAUACCACCUCACACAUUUAGAUGGCUUAUUUAAACAAAAUGACAAAUAUCACCAAGUAUAUGGAUAAAUUCAACUUUUCUCACUUGAACUUUUCUAAUUUGAACUGUUCUGAUUUGAACUAAAUUAGAACUUUUCUGCACUAUGAUGGGAAUGUAAAAUGGCACAGCCAAUGAGAAGAAUAGAAUGGCAACUCCUCAAUAAAUUAAAAAUAGAAUUACCAUAUUAUCCAGCAAGUACACUUCUGGGUUUGCACCUCAAAGAACUGAAAGCAAGAUAUUGAAGAGGUGCUUGUACACUUAUGUUCAUAGUAACAUUAUUCACAAUAGCCAAAAUGUGAAAGCAACCUAGGUAUAUAUUCACAGAUAACUCCAAAAACAAAAGGUGGUAUAUAGAUACAAUGGAAAAUUAUUCAGACUUAGGAAAAUCUGACAAAUGCUACAACAUGGGUGAAACUUGAAGACAUCAUGCUAAGCUAGCCACAAAUACUGUAUGAUUCCACUUAUAUAAGCUCACAGCAACUUCCAGAUCCUUAAUCCACUGAGCAAGGCCAGGGAUCGAACCAAUAUCCUCGUGGAUACUAGUCGGGUUCGUUAACCACUGAACCAUGACAGGAACUCCUCUAUCUAGAUUUUGAAGUCUGAAAAGCAAGUGAGGUCUAUAAGCAUUGGAAAUGUUUGAGUCUCAAGAGUAAUUUUUUUUUUUUUUUUCUGGUGAAUUCACUCAUCAAAUAGUAGCUACAUAAAAUCAGUCAUGGCUCUGGAUAAGAUAUAAUAUAGAAUUGCAGUGCUAAAGAACAGAAGAAAUAGAUGAUCAAUACACUUUGAAAUGCUUCCUUUAGAAACACUGAUUUUUUUUAAUCCUAGCCAGAAAAAUAUAUAUGUAUAUAAAUCUGAAUUCCCCAGUUUGGAAAGUUCCACAGUAGCCAGGUUUCCAAAUUUUCAUUUCUUUCUGUUUAGUUCUUUAUUGUACCAGUCAAGUGUUGUCAAAUACCAGGGAUUAACUUUUGGAAAAAAAAAUUAGAAACAAAGGGAAAAUUUUUAAUUUUCCAUCCUUGAUAAUUAAAAUUUUAUAAUUUUAAACUAUAAUAAAUAGUUUAAUGAUAGCUGUACUUUAAAAAAAAGGGGGCAGAGACAAAAUUAGUAGCCCCUUGCAUUCUCAGUCUAUGGCUGAAAAUUUUUAGUCAGAAGUCAAAGUCAGAUAUUUGAUCCAACAUUUUUAGAGAUGCUGAAUUCUUUAGAGAAUCCCAAAAGUGUACCAGUUUUACAUUUAUAGGCAUUGAAGAUAUUAGAGUCAUGGGAGUAUGAUCCAUUGUGAGUCUGGAAAUGUAAAUUCAGGAAUCUCUGCUUUCAAAGAUAAUUGCUAGAUUCUGAAGACCUGAUAUGAUCUUGUCCAAUGAAGUUCAAGAGCAUUCUUACAUUGUUUCUGAGGUUUUCCUUUGGUAAAGCUGCCUAGUCCUGCUGAUCAUAAAUUGCUAUAUAUUGAUCAUAAAAUAAACCUUUAAAAUAUGAUAGUCAGUUACUGGACAUGUAAUUGUUAGUCUCACUGGGUAAGAGUUAAGAAAAUGAUGACCUAUGGUUUCUAGUCAGUGAAUUUUUAAUAGUCAAGGAAAUUAAGGAUGACAUUUUAGGUCAUGGCAGUUAAUCCUUCAAAUAAUUUUCCAAGCUUUAUUUGUUCUUUUAUCUUUGACUACUGCUAGAGGAUGAUAAAGACAAUGGAGUUUCUGGAUGAUGAGAGAUACCAUGUACAGCUCUUGUAAAAUAGGCACCUCUAUCUCUGACAAAAAGUUUGGUAAUGCACCAAGUUGAAAAUACAAAGUCUAGGAGGCUGGUCGUUGCUUGUUUUUGUUUUGUUUUGUUUUCUUUUUUUUGGUUUGCUAGUUGUUAGUGUAGUUGCCAUUUGGCAAAUAAAAUCUAUGGCCAUCUAGAAAAUACAUGAGUAGAAAUAUAUUCAUUUGAAGGAGACAAUUGCAAAACUCCAUUUGUAAAUUUCAAAAUAAACCUUGAGGAUUUAGUUCUUGCUCAUUCUUAUCUUUUGCAGGUUGUACCUGAAUCAUACUAAGCAGUUUUGAGUAAAAUUUUCCUGGCUCUAUGAUUAUGAUAUGCCAACCAAUUUAUCUUUGCUGCAGUGGUCAAACUGAAUAGUUAUGUUAAUAAACUACAUUAUUAAGUAUUUUAAUAAAUUCUUAUAAUAAAGUUUACUCUGGGAGUGAGAAUAUUAUAAAUUGUAUAGACAUAGACAAGCCCCUAUAGAAAUUUGAUUUACAUUAAAAAUCAAACCUAUCACCAUGAUUGUACCUAUAGUCAUGUAUACUGAAUUUUAGACAAAAAAAAUCAUUUUGAUAUAGUUAUUAUGCAUGUCUUUAUGCUUAUAAAUGAGUCUAUUUUAAUCUGAGGACUUCAUCAUAUUUUGGAGGGGGAACACAAUUCAACCCAUAAGAGUCCGCUCUAUACCUUUCCCAAAAGUUAUGUCUUUCCCAUGUGCAAAAUACAUUUACUCCAUUAUGACAUCCUCAAAAGUUUUAACCCAUUUCAAUUUAACUCAACAUACAAAAAUUUCAUCUAAAUAUAAUCAACUCAAACUCAUCUAAAUCAGAUAUGGGUGAGACACUGGGUAUGGUCCAUCUGGAUACAAAAUUUCUCGUCAUUUAUGAACUUGUGAUAUUAGAAAACAAGUUAUAUGCUUAUAAAAUACAACAUUGGCAUACUCAUUGGAUAGAUAUUUUCAUUCCAAAAGAUAGAAAUAAGAAGAAAAGGAUACUCAGAUUCCAAGCAAGUCUUAAAACCAGCAGGACUCAUUGCAAGGCUUGGGAAGAAUCCUACGUGGCUCAGUUCUCUGUCCUAUAGGCUCUUGGCCCACGAUGGUGUCAGUCUUACCCUCUUUGCCCCAGGAAGUACUAUCAGCACUGCCUCCUUCAUCAGUGGUUCUGCCCUCAGGGUUUUUGUUUGUUUGUUUGUUUGUUUUGUCUUUUUAGGGCUGCACCUGCCCUGGAAGUUCCUAGGCUAGGGGUCGAAUUGGAGCUAUAGCUGCUGGCUUGUGGGCUUGCGCAGUAGCCACAGCAACACCAGAUCCUUAAUCGACUGAGCAAGGCCAGAGAAUGAACCUGCAUUCUGAUGGAUACUAGUUAGAUUCGUCAUCACUAAGCCACACGAGAACUCCCCUCAAAAUCAUUCUUUAUUCUUUUCAUCCCAUCCCUGUGCUUAUCAGGCCAGUCUGGCAGUAUUUCUUCUGGCACAGUUCUCAAUUACCUUGUCAGUCUCCUGUGCAAUUCUUAAGAGUUCAGAUCAUCAAACAGGAAAGUUCUUCAUAUAUCUUUCUGAUUAAUGACAUCUAUAUUCCUUAAUCCUCUGUGAGAGUUGAUUUGAUCCACAAGUCAUAUAAUCUGUCUCAUUAGCAAUGAUUGUCCAGCCACAUUCUUAGGCCUAUGUCCAGAGCAUCCUAUCUGGACAGGAUGUGAAUUUUCCAACUAUCAAGUGCUUGCUUCUUUUUUUAUGAGUAGCAAUUCAUUUCUCAACUUGUUUCUUAUCUCUUGCAAUUUUACCGUAAACAGCAAGGAGAAUCCAGGUGGUACAGAACACAAUUUUCAGGCAAGCAUCCUUGGCUAAAUAUCCAAGAUCAUCAACUAUAAGUUUUACUUUCCACAAAAUAAUGGAGCAUAAUUCAGCCAAGUUCUUUGCCACUUGGUUCUAAGAAUCACCUUUCCUCCAGUUUCCAAAAACAUAGUCCUUAUUUCCAUCUGAGACAUCACCAGAAGUACCCUUACUGUCCAUAUCUCUAGUAGCACUCCAUUCGUGACAAUGUAUGUGCUUGUCUAAUAAAUGGAAACUUUGUAUGCAUUGCUCCUUACUUCUUUCUGAUUCCUCCUCAGAAUUUUCUUUGAUGGCCACAUUUCUAUCAACAAUUUCUUCAAGGAAAUCUGGCUCUUACUAUUAAAACCUGAACAACUACAUACAAUUAAUUUAUAUAAAUUUCAAAUACAGAGAAAACCAAAAUAUGUAUUAAUCUGUUAGAAAUCAUAAUAGUUGAUGGCGUUCCCAUCGUGGCACAGUGGGAACAAAUCCGACUAGGAACCACGACGUUGCGGGUUUGAUCCCUGGCCUUGUUCAGUGAGUUAAGUAUCUGACCUUGCUUUGAGCUGUAGUGUAGGUCGCAGACAUGGCUCGGAUCCCGAGUUGCUGUGGCUCUGUUGUAGGCCGGCAGCUACAUCUCCUAUUAGACUUCUUGCCUGGGAACCUCCAUAUGCUGCAGGUGCAGCCCUAAAAAGACAAAAGACAAAAAAAAAAAAAAAG
rnacentral:lncRNA from 1 species